rnacentral:lncRNA from 1 species
CAGUGAGUUUGUUAUGUUAUCCACAAGGCUUGCUAUAGAAAUUGAUAUGAUGUUAACUUAGUACAUAAUAAUAUUUAUAGCAUAUUUGAAUAGUAUUGCUUUAUUGUGCUAUCCACAAGGGUAGCAUUGUUUAAGUAUGACUAUAUAAGAAUGAAAGGUUUAACUUAACUAGAACAUUAUAGUUUGUUAUGCUGUCCAUAAGACUAUAGGUGUUUUAGAGGCAAAAG